UGUCGACGGGCUGUUUAUGCAGCCAGUGGCGGACGGGUGAGUAACACGUAGGUGACCUACCCCAAAGUCUGGGACAACUAGGAGAAAUCUUAGCUAAUCCUGGAUGUGGACAUCUACUUUGGUGGAUGUUUAAAGCUUCGGCGCUUUGGGAUGGGCCUGCGGCGCAUCAGGUAGUUGGUGGGGUAAUGGCCUACCAAGCCGACGACGCGUAGCUGGUCUGAGAGGACGAUCAGCCACAGGGGUACUGAGACACGGACCCCACUCCUACGGGAGGCAGCAGUUAGGAAUCUUCCGCAAUGGGCGAAAGCCUGACGGAGCGAUACCGCUUGAAGGACGAAGCCCUUCGGGGUGUAAACUUCUGAACUCGGGACGAUAAUGACGGUACCGAGGUAAUAGCACCGGCUAACUCCGUGCCAGCAGCCGCGGUAAUACGGAGGGUGCGAGCGUUACCCGGAUUUACUGGGUGUAAAGGGCGUGUAGGCGGUCUCUCAAGUCCGAUGCUAAAGACCGAAGCUCAACUUCGGGGGUGCGUUGGAUACUGUGAGGCUAGACGGUCGGAGAGGGUAGCGGAAUUUCCGGAGUAGCGGUGAAAUGCGCAGAUACCGGAAGGAACGCCAAUAGCGAAAGCAGCUACCUGGACGAUUUGUGACGCUGAGGCGCGAAAGCGUGGGGAGCAAACCGGAUUAGAUACCCGGGUAGUCCACGCCCUAAACGAUGAGUGCUGGGUGUCCGACAUCUGUUGGGUGCCGUAGCUAACGCGUUAAGCACUCCACCUGGGAAGUACGGUCGCAAGACUGAAACUCAAAGGAAUUGACGGGGGCCCGCACAAGCGGUGGAGCAUGUGGUUUAAUUCGAAGCAACGCGCAGAACCUUACCAGGUCUUGACAUCCACGGAACCCUGGUGAAAGCCGGGGGUGCCCGCAAGGGAGCCGUGAGACAGGUGCUGCAUGGUCGUCGUCAGCUCGUGUCGU
rnacentral:rRNA from 1 species